UUGAGUUUUCAGCACCUAUAACGUUUUAAUCGAUUAAAACCGUGCGUUUUUUAUUCUGAACAACAAAUAUAAAAUAUGAAGGUACAAGAAUCAAAACCUACUACAAAUCUAAGUCCUAAACAAUUAAACUACAAUUAUUAGAAAAGCUUUUAUUAACAAAAAUAAAUCUUCAAAGGAUCUUCAUGAAUCUUGGUAAAUCUUGACUUGAUUUGGGCAUCAUCAAAACUUCAUCUUCACCAUUUUGCUAACAUUCUCCCCCUUUUUGAUUAUGAUAAAAAACUCCUUUGAAUUAAAGCUUUUUGUAAUAAUCUGAGUAAAAACACAACUUAUGGAAGAAAAAAACAUUAGAGAAUAAUAAUAAGCUUUAAACAUUUUCUCCCCCUUUUUAAUCAUAAUUAAAAAGUUGUGUUUCAUGUUCUCCCUGUAAGAUAAUACUCCCCCU
rnacentral:lncRNA from 1 species